GAUGAACGCUGGCGGCGUGCCUAAUACAUGCAAGUCGAGCGAACGGACGAGAAGCUUGCUUCUCUGAUCUUAGCGGCGGACGGGUGAGUAACACGUGGAUAACCUACCUAUAAGACUGGGAUAACUUCGGGAAACCGUAGCUAAUACCGGAUAAUAUUUUGAACCGCAUGGUUCAAAAGUGAAAGACGGUCUUGCUGUCACUUAUAGAUGGAUCCGCGCUGCAUUAGCUAGUUGGUAAGGUAACGGCUUACCAAGGCAACGAUGCAUAGCCGACCUGAGAGGGUGAUCGGCCACACUGGAACUGAGACACGGUCCAGACUCCUACGGGAGGCAGCAGUAGGGAAUCUUCCGCAAUGGGCGAAAGCCUGACGGAGCAACGCCGCGUGAGUGAUGAAGGUCUUCGGAUCGUAAAACUCUGUUAUUAGGGAAGAACAUAUGUGUAAGUAACUGUGCACAUCUUGACGGUACCUAAUCAGAAAGCCACGGCUAACUACGUG
rnacentral:rRNA from 1 species